GGAAACUUGGAAACUACAGUUGGAUCGAGAAAUGGACGUCUGAAAUUCUUCCACGUCACCUUGAGUUAAAAUUUAACUCGCGGAUUCACUCAUGAGUUAAAAUUUUACUGGGAGUUAAAUUUUAACUCACGAUGACGUGGAUGAAUCUCAGACGUCCAUUUCUCAAUCCAACGGUAGUUUCCAAGUUUCU
rnacentral:pre_miRNA from 2 species